UGCCGUACGUAUCUGUGUUUGUGUAUUGGUGUAUCUGUAUCUUUUACGCUGCCUUACACUCCACACGUUCAGAUUCAGAUUCAUUCUGUAAACGCGAUUCCUCGAGGACGUAACGGUGAAACGUCGGCAACGGCAAGCGCGCUUUCCGACUACUCAACGGUUGCCCAACGGUUGAGUUUUGAGUUUUUGGCCUCAGUCUCGGCCUCAGUCUCCGCCUCUGCCUCCUGCUUCGUCGUGUGCAUUGGUAGUGGUGAAACACACACACACACAUUGUUGAGAAUUCUCAAACACGCGUCACAAAAUCCAAAUCAAAAUCUUUGCAUGCGAAAGUCGCGUGCUUAAUUCAAUCGUGCGUGCUUCUAUCUCAGUGUGUGUGUGC